rnacentral:lncRNA from 1 species
AAAGAAAAGAUAUUUAAGUUUUAUAUAAUGAAGAAUGUUAAGAAGACAUGAAAUUUGGACCUUCUGGAAAAUGUCACUCCACGCGUAUUACUAUAAUAAUGUUGUCAAAAGAUGAUGUUUUCUUGUUAAUAAUGAGAGAAAAUUUGUUUCUGUUCGGAGGAGGAAAAAUUUAUAUAAGCUUUCACAUCUGUACAAAAACAGGAAAAAGAGAAGUUAGGUUAACAUGGGACAUUGGCUAAUUAUUGGAUUAAAUACAUUCCUAGCUGCAGGAGAUCUUUUAUCCACAAUAGCAAAUGCUGAAAAAAUAUAUAUAGAUGUGGAAAACUGAAAGGCGGGUGGAGAGCACAAAAGUCAGAGAAGAGAGUGCAUGAGAAAGUUUGCCGGCAUGAAAAGUCUGAGGUCGAUUGCCGUGGUGCAAGUUGUGAACAAUCCUACAAAGUGAUACAAAGUCAGCCAUUUGUCUCUGCCACUGAGGCCUCAAGAUCACCAAUAAUGUUUUGUUAGUGUUCUGUUGAUUAUGAUUGUAAGAACUAAAGACUGUGCUGCCAUAUAUUGGACUAAAGACUGUGCUUCACAUAACUCAAGAAAAAGACAGGAAAGAAAGGGAAGGAGAAGACAUUCUUGCUUCCUUGUGAACAGAUUUCUUAUUGUACCCCAGUUAUCCAGGUAUUUAUCCUUCACAGAGAAAAAUGUGUACUCGGAACUCUCUCUCAAUAAAAGUUCCCAGGUUUAUAUAAACCGUAGUGUUGUCUCUUUGUUGUGUUGAGAGUCACUCUCACCUUGCUGUUCUUACCUAAGUAAUGCUU